UACGGGGGGAGCAAGCGUUGUUCGGAAUUACUGGGCGUAAAGCGCGCGCAGGCGGCCUUUUAAGUCUCGUGGUGAAAUCCCGGGGCUCAACCUCGGAACUGCCUUUGAUACUGCAAAUCUCGAGUCCGGAAGAGGUGAGUGGAAUUCCUAGUGUAGAGGUGAAAUUCGUAGAUAUUAGGAAGAACACCAGUGGCGAAGGCGGCUCACUGGUCCGGUACUGACGCUGAGGUGCGAAAGCGUGGGGAGCAAACAGG
rnacentral:rRNA from 1 species